CACAAAUAAAUUCAGCUUGGGUCAAAUAUCUCUUCCCCAAACCAGCCUCCCAACUAACCCAAUCAAUGAAGAGGCUACCUCCCAACCAACCCAAUCAAUGAGGAGGCAGCCCACCCCCUCUCCCUCUAUAUAAAGGGGCUUGGCAGCCCACCCCCUCCUCACUUGCUCUCACUUUUCCACUCCCCACUCUUUCCUCCACUCCCACACACUCUCCUCCUACCUCUCCCCACGAAAUUGCUGCUCCUCCUAGCUUCAUGGCCGGCCAUGGCCAUGAAAAGCUCUCCAAGAUGAAGCUCUCCCCCUCCCUCAAGCUCCCCCUCUCCAUGAGAGCAUCCCUCUCCUUCUUCUCCCCAAUCCUAGAUGGUUUUCUCUCCUCUUCUUCUUCCUCCCUUGCUAAGUUUGGAUCUUGAUGCAGGUGCAUGUUGGUCCAAGCAUGGAGAAGCUUCACCUAUCCUCAGAUCUGAAGUUCUUGACCAAAAUUCGUCCAAAACCUUGCAGGGAUAUUUGGUUUAUACCAUGGUGAUAACCGAGAGAGGCAAUUGCUAAGUUGUGACGCACUCAUACCUCUACUAGAUGCGAACACUUCUGGAGAAGAAGAAGAAGUGGAAUCGGACGGGGAUUUUAUUUUUAUUGUUGGAAUACAUAUUUGAUGGAGUUGAAGAAGUCCAGGGACAAAUAAGCCAACCAA